GCUGCUUAAGCGCGUUGUAAUCACUCACAGCUGUUACUCAUCAACAACCAGCAAAACCAACAUCUCUCCGACUUAAUUUUAAAAACAGUACAUUGUGAAAAAUGCUGUCAUUAUUCUCUUACAUAUCUGUGCCUAAAAUUGGAGGCAAUUACAUUUUAAAUGUAAUAAAUAUAUUUACAAUUUUAAAUCAAUAUUAUUAUUUUAAAUAUUGAGUAGAUUGUGGUCCCUUACUGUGUAGCAAUGUGUGUUUAUAUUUACAACUAAACAAAUGUUUGUCUUUUAUAAAAGUUCUGUAACAUUUUAUAAAGUUUAUUGAGUUGGAUCGUGAUGUUCGGUUGGCGAGCUUCAGAAAAGGUCACGUGAUUUCCGGUAAGGGAACAUAGGGACCAUUGAUGCUUACUGGUUUUUGCGUUGCAUUGUGGGAAUUUUUAGGGAACGAACGUUCCAGUGCACUAAACGGAUUUUGAGAUUGAGACAGCCCUUAAAAUGGCUGACUCCCUGAUCAGUGCCCUGACUACUGAACAAGGGAGCUGAUUGAGACACACGGAUAGAUAAAAACAGCUUUCUGGCAACAGGUGGUGUGCUUUAGUUAAUAUAUUUAAAAGGUUCAUAUCUAAUGCAUUUUGACAUUCCUUAUAUUUAUAUUUAUAUUUAUGUAAGAGUUAUACUUUUAUUUUAGUGAGAGGGUUAUGUUUGUGUUUAAGCAGACAUUGCAAGGCCAAGCACUUAUCGCUUGACAUGGCUGGAGUCAAUACUACCUCACCAAAAUUACAACUAAUGUUUGGCUUAAACCUUGCCUAAUCGCAGUGUUUUUCCCUUUUAUUCUCUUUUUGUAGGCCCUAGGGAUGGGCGGAAUGACCAAAAAUCUAUUCCACGGAAUGAGUCAUUUUAUUUCACGGAACGGUAUAUUCACGGUAUAAAUAUUUUUCAGUUUAUAUUGUUUUUUUAUUAUAAAAAUGUACAGAAAUUUGCAACUCACUCUAGCUUUUAACUAAAUGUCCACCGCAGUUUUUAAAUUAUGAGCAAUUUAAAGUUAAUAAUGUUAAAGUGAAAAUGCCCAGAAGAUAACAACAGAUUAAGUCUUGAUAAUUUUUUUAAUUUAGUAGACUAUUGAAGCUAUAGUAUGCCUUCAUUGUAUUUUGUAUUUAUGCAUACAUUACAUUAAAAAUAGGCAAUAUGUAAAAUGAACAGGUGUAUAUGCAAAAACCUACAGACAGGAUGAAUAGCCUACCUAUCCUAUAUGAGAGACGAAGCUCUAGAUAUUAUACAUAUGACAGAUGCUAUGAUGUGAUGAUCAUGAAGUCUGUUUUAACAUGUGGGAGGGCAGAGUUAGCCAUGCCCACAUAUUUGCAUUCGGCGGAAUAGAAAAAUCUGUUACGUCUGACAUUUUAUUCCGCGGUAACGGAAUAUACCGUCAUACCGCCCAACCCUAGUAGGCCCAUCAGAGUGAUUUCCUGAGCUCUUUCGCAUAUGCUGUAUGGUAAGAGUGAAUUUCUGCCAGUUGAUACCGGUGACAGGUGUUAAUUAUUAAGUUUAUCUUUGUAUUUUUUUAUUAAAGGUCAGAGAAUGGAUGGAUUAUCCAGUCACGGUACAUAAUGAAAGGUAAAUGGCAAGUAAUUAAGUAAUGUACUAAAUGUAUAAACUGUAGUGUAUUCAGUAGCUACUAAUCACAUUACCUCUAUCACUCUCUCUAAAAGACUUGACUGAGUUAGAAGAAGUUGAGCGACUCUUCAGAGUGAAGAUGUUAUGAUGCAGUUAUGUCAAAGUACUCGUUUUGGCUGGCCAGAUUGGAACAGACCUGAAUGGGAAGAUGGCAGAGCUAAGACUGACAAUGUCCAGGAAAAAUGUUAACUAAAAAUGAGUGUGUUUUUCCCCAGCAAGUGAGUUUGGGAAUGUUUUAAAUGUGCCUAGAAGUUUGAAAAUGUAAUACUGAGGGAAAAAAGUGAGCGCUUUGAAAAGGCUUUAAAAAGAAAAUAAAGUCUGAAGUUGAUGUUAAAUGAAGUUAAAGUUUUUACUUGAAAAGUUUGUACUUGUUUGUACUUGUCAAGUCUGUGCUGAAAAAAUGCAGUAAAGUUUGUAUUUGAAAAGA